ACAAACAUCCCAUAGAUUGUCUAGAGAGCUGGGCUCAAGGAGAACCCAGCCAAGGGCACUCCAUUUCCCUACAUAGAGAGGCCAGAGAGUCAGACCCACCUAAGUAGAUCAGCAUUCCACAUGGUUCAUUGAACAUAAUCCAAAAGUCCGGCUAUAAUGGGUGGAGCUGUUCUUCUCCAUGUGCAAGCUGGUGCUGGCAGACCAACUCACAAUCGUCAGGGUCAACCUCGAAGAGAAGGCCUUUACCUAUAUCAAAAGGACGAACAACCAGGAGAUGCCCAAAAAUUAUGAGGAC
rnacentral:lncRNA from 1 species